GAUGAACGCUAGCUACAGGCUUAACACAUGCAAGUCGAGGGGUAACGAGAGGAAAGCUUGCUUUCCUUGUCGACGACCGGCGCACGGGUGAGUAACGCGUAUCCAACCUGCCCCCAACUAGGGAAUAACCUUGCGAAAGUAAGACUAAUACCCUAUAAUUUCCUCAGAUGUCAUCUGACGAGGAAUAAAGAUUUAUCGGUUGUGGAUGGGGAUGCGUCUGAUUAGCUUGUUGGCGGGGUAACGGCCCACCAAGGCAACGAUCAGUAGGGGUUCUUGGAGGAGGGUCCCCCACAUUGGAACUGAGACACGGUCCAAACUCCUACGGGAGGCAGCAGUGAGGAAUAUUGGUCAAUGGGCGGAAGCCUGAACCAGCCAAGUAGCGUGCAGGAUGACGGCCCUAUGGGUUGUAAACUGCUUUUAUACAGGAAUAAAGUUAGCCACGUGUGGUUAUUUGUAGGUACUGUAUGAAUAAGGACCGGCUAAUUCCGUGCCAGCCGCCGCCGUAA
rnacentral:rRNA from 1 species